rnacentral:lncRNA from 1 species
AUUUGAAGGUGUCAGUUUAUCUCUAUCAGCUACAAAGAAUGCCUGGGCAAUUAAAUAAGUCUAAUUUUAUACCUAGCUUUUAGAUAUCUAAAUUAUUAAAGAUAAAUCACUGCCUAAAUCACAAUCUUCCUUGUCUUUUUUUUAUUAGAACAAAUAGAUAGUAAAAAUAGACAGUGAGAAUUUUGGAGAUGAACAAGAUCAGCAUCCAAGUUAAAUAUUUACCAGCCUGAAGCUAAAGGAAGGAAGGAACAUCUCCAUUGCACUAAAACAUAAGAUUUCCAAGUCCUACCCAUCAUUCCUUGAUAUCUGAAGUGCAUCAGACCUCUUUUCAACUAAAGUAUAAUCUUUUCCUUAUCCUUUUCCAAAUGAGCUUUUUAUUGUUUGAGAC